rnacentral:rRNA from 1 species
AGCAUAUGAGAUGGAAGAAAUGGGCUACAUUUUCUAAGAUAGAACAUUCAACGAAAGAGAGCAUGAAACAUCUCUCAGAAGG